GUUUUCACAGGGAAAGGCCACAACCAAAUCCACAAACAAGGGAUUGUCCAGAUAGUGUGUCUGUUAGGCUAUAUAUGCAUCACUCUGCUCACCUGUUUCAUAGCAUCAAGCUGUAAGCCAAAGGAUGUAGCAGCAAAUCCAGCAGAGAGCAAAAUAUGGAGAGACAUUAUGGAGGUUACUGUGGUGUCAUCAAACCAACACAAUAUAAUUGAAAUCAAAAGAAAAUGGUUUGCCACAAAACUGAAUUGUCAGAAUUUCAACAAUCAAGAGAGUGUCCAGGUGUCCAGAUUACGUAGUUGUGAUUCCACUAUCACAGUGACUGUGUUGAUAUCUUACGCCAUGCGAGAGAGCUCCAGCGGAUUAAAGUGAGGGAUUUGACCAUCUCCAUUUUCCCUGACUACACAGCCAAGACAGCCCGGGCCGCGUUUAACGAUGUUCGGCGUCAACUUCGUGGUAUUGAGGGAGCUCGCUAUGGAAUACUUCACCCAGCUCGGCUUCUCAUUACAUAUAACGGUGUUCAGAAGGACUUUAUUUCAGCGAAGGAAGCAGGAGACUACGUUAAACUCUUGAUAUCG
ensembl:lncRNA